GUGGAUUAGAUACCCUAGUAGUCCACGCCGUAAACGUUGGGCGCUAGGUGUGGGUCCCUUCCACGGGGUCUGUGCCGCAGCUAACGCAUUAAGCGCCCCGCCUGGGGAGUACGGCCGCAAGGCUAAAACUCAAAGAAAUUGACGGGGGCCCGCACAAGCGGCGGAGCAUGUUGCUUAAUUCGACGCAACGCGAAGAACCUUACCAAGGUUUGACAUGGCCGGAAAACUCAUGGAGACAUGGGGUCCUUCGGGGCCGGUCACAGGUGGUGCAUGGUCGUCGUCAGCU
rnacentral:rRNA from 1 species